CGCGUAGGCGGCUCUGCAAGUCGAAGGUGAAAUCCCUCAGCUCAACUGAGGAACUGCCUCCGAUACUGCAGGGCUUGAGUUCCGGAGAGGGUAGCGGAAUUCCCAGUGUAGCGGUGAAGUGCGUAGAUACUGGGAGGAACACCGGUGGCGAAGGCGGCUACCUGGACGGAUACUGACGCUGGGGCGCGAAAGCGUGGGGAGCAAACAGGAUUAGAUACCCUGGUAGUCC
rnacentral:rRNA from 1 species